rnacentral:rRNA from 1 species
AACGAACGCUGGCGGCAGGCCUAACACAUGCAAGUCGAGCGGACCUUUCGGGGUCAGCGGCGGACGGGUGAGUAACGCGUGGGAAUAUGCCCUUCUCUACGGAAUAGUCCUGGGAAACUGGGGGUAAUACCGUAUACGCCCUUUGGGGGAAAGAUUUAUCGGGGAAGGAUUAGCCCGCGUUGGAUUAGGUAGUUGGUGGGGUAAUGGCCUACCAAGCCGACCAUCCAUAGCUGGUUUGAGAGGAUGAUCAGCCACACUGGGACUGAGACACGGCCCAGACUCCUACGGGAGGCAGCAGUGGGGAAUCUUAGACAAUGGGGGCAACCCUGAUCUAGCCAUGCCGCGUGAGUGAUGAAGGCCUUAGGGUUGUAAAGCUCUUUCAGCUGGGAAGAUAAUGACGGUACCAGCAGAAGAAGCCCCGGCUAACUCCGUG